rnacentral:rRNA from 1 species
GACGAACGCUGGCGGCGUGCUUAACACAUGCAAGUCGAACGGUGAAGGUGGAGCUUGCUCUGCUGGAUCAGUGGCGAACGGGUGAGUAACACGUGAGUAACCUGCCCUUGACUCUGGGAUAAGCGUUGGAAACGACGUCUAAUACCGGAUACGAGCCCCAACCGCAUGGUUAGGGGUUGGAAAGAAUUUCGGUCAAGGAUGGACUCGCGGCCUAUCAGCUUGUUGGUGAGGUAAUGGCUCACCAAGGCGACGACGGGUAGCCGGCCUGAGAGGGUGACCGGCCACACUGGGACUGAGACACGGCCCAGACUCCUACGGGAGGCAGCAGUGGGGAAUAUUGCACAAUGGGCGAAAGCCUGAUGCAGCAACGCCGCGUGAGGGAUGACGGCCUUCGGGUUGUAAACCUCUUUUAGUAGGGAAGAAGCGAAAGUGACGGUACCUGCAGAAAAAGCACCGGCUAACUACGUGCCAGCAGCCGCGGUAAUACGUAGGGUGCAAGCGUUGUCCGGAAUUAUUGGGCGUAAAGAGCUCGUAGGCGGUUUGUCGCGUCUGCUGUGAAAACUGGAGGCUCAACCUCCAGCCUGCAGUGGGUACGGGCAGACUAGAGUGCGGUAGGGGAGAUUGGAAUUCCUGGUGUAGCGGUGGAAUGCGCAGAUAUCAGGAGGAACACCGAUGGCGAAGGCAGAUCUCUGGGCCGUAACUGACGCUGAGGAGCGAAAGCGUGGGGAGCGAACAGGAUUAGAUACCCUGGUAGUCCACGCCGUAAACGUUGGGAACUAGAUGUGGGGACCAUUCCACGGUCUCCGUGUCGCAGCUAACGCAUUAAGUUCCCCGCCUGGGGAGUACGGCCGCAAGGCUAAAACUCAAAGGAAUUGACGGGGGCCCGCACAAGCGGCGGAGCAUGCGGAUUAAUUCGAUGCAACGCGAAGAACCUUACCAAGGCUUGACAUAUACGAGAACGGGCCAGAAAUGGUCAACUCUUUGGACACUCGUAAACAGGUGGUGCAUGGUUGUCGUCAGCUCGUGUCGUGAGAUGUUGGGUUAAGUCCCGCAACGAGCGCAACCCUCGUUCUAUGUUGCCAGCACGUUAUGGUGGGAACUCAUAGGAGACUGCCGGGGUCAACUCGGAGGAAGGUGGGGAUGACGUCAAAUCAUCAUGCCCCUUAUGUCUUGGGCUUCACGCAUGCUACAAUGGCCGGUACAAAGGGCUGCAAUACCGUAAGGUGGAGCGAAUCCCAAAAAGCCGGUCUCAGUUCGGAUUGAGGUCUGCAACUCGACCUCAUGAAGUCGGAGUCGCUAGUAAUCGUGAAUCAGCAACGUCACGGUGAAUACGUUCCCGGGCCUUGUACACACCGCCCGUCAAGUCAUGAAAGUCGGUAACACCCGAAGCCAGUGGCCCAACCUUUUGGAGGGAGCUGUCGAAGGUGGGAUCGGUGAUUAGGACUAAGUCGUAACAAGGUAGCCGUACCGGAAGGUGC